GACGAACGCUGGCGGCGUGCUUAACACAUGCAAGUCGAACGGAAAGGCCCCUUUGGGGGUACUCGAGUGGCGAACGGGGGAGUAACACGUGAGUAACCUGCCCUUGACUUCGGGAUAACUUCAGGAAACUGGGGCUAAUACCGGAUAGGAAUCCUUGCUGCAUGGUGGGGGUUGGAAAGCUUCGGCGGUUUUGGAUGGACUCGCGGCGUAUCAGCUUGUUGGUGGGGUAGUGGCUUACCAAGGCUUUGACGGGUAGCCGGCCUGAGAGGGCGACCGGCCACAUUGGGACUUAGGUGCGGCACCGACUCCGACGGGAGGCCGAAGUGGGGAAUAUUGCACAAUGGGCGGAAGCCUGAUGCAGCAACGCCGCGUGCGGGAUGACGGCCUUCGGGUUGGAAACCGCUUUCAGCAGGGGCGAAGCUUGUGGUGACGGUACCUGCAGAAGAAGCACCGGCUAACUACGUG
rnacentral:rRNA from 1 species